AUUGAACGCUGGCGGCAUGCCUUACACAUGCAAGUCGAACGGUAACAGGUUAAGCUGACGCGUUGCGAACGGGCGAGUAAUGUAUCGGUACGUGCCCCGUCGGGGGCUAUUACUUCUCGGAAGAGCAGCUAAUACCGCAUACGACCUUAGGGCGUACGAGGUAGGUCGCAAAACAUCGCGCGAUCGGACCUUCCGAUAUCGGAUUAGGUAGUUGGGGAGGUAAAGGCUCACCAAGCCGACGAUCUGUAGCUGGUCUGAGAGGACGACCAGCCACACUGGGACUGAGACACGGCCCAGACUCCUACGGGAGGCAGCAGUGGGGAAUUUUGGACAAUGGGCGCAAGCCUGAUCCAGCCAUGCCGCGUGCGUGAAGAAGGCCUUCGGGUUGUAAACCGCUUUUGUCAGGGAAGAAAAGGUUCUGGCUAAUACCUGGGUCUCAUGACGGUACCCGAAGAAUAAGCACCGGCUAACUACGUG
rnacentral:rRNA from 1 species